UACAGAGGUGGCAAGCGUUGUUCGGAAUUACUGGGCGUAAAGCGCGCGUAGGCGGCUUUGCAAGUCGGGUGUGAAAUCCCCAGGCUUAACCUGGGAACUGCAUUCGAGACUGCAUUGCUAGAGUAUGGGAGAGGGAAGUGGAAUUUCCGGUGUAGCGGUGAAAUGCGUAGAUAUCGUAAGGAAGACCAGUGGCUAAGGCGGCUCUCUAGUACGGUACUGACGCUGAGACGCGAAAGCGUGGGGAGCGAACAGG
rnacentral:rRNA from 1 species